UCUUCAUUCCGCAUGCUCUCUCACCGGUCAGAGUGACGAGAGAGCAUGCGAAAUGAAGAGA
rfam:Pristionchus pacificus strain PS312 contig1302, whole genome shotgun sequence.